CUCUUGGGCGAUCUUUUCCGUUGCUAGCUGCGGCAGAGUUGUUGUAUAAGGAAUCUCUCGUCCCGUUAUCUGCUACCACCAAUCAUGAGCGGCUACGGAAACAUGGAUGAGUACUCCGAGGGCUCUAAGAUCAACGCAAGCAAAAACCAGCAGGAUGAGGGCAAGAUGUUCAUCGGGGGCCUGAGCUGGGACACCAGUAAGAAGGAUCUGACAGAGUACCUCUCCAGGUUCGGCGAAGUAGUAGACUGCACAAUUAAAACGGAUCCUGUGACUGGGCGAUCAAGGGGCUUUGGCUUUGUUCUCUUCAAAGAUGCAGUCAGUGUUGAUAAGGUACUGGAGACUAAAGAACACAAACUUGAUGGGAAACUCAUUGAUCCAAAGAGAGCAAAGGCAUUAAAAAGCAAAGAGCCUCCAAAGAAAGUGUUUGUUGGUGGUUUGAGCCCAGAUACUACAGAGGAACAGAUAAAGGAUUACUUUGGUGGCUUUGGAGAUAUUGAAAAUAUCGAACUUCCUAUGGACACGAAGACAAAUGAGAGAAGAGGAUUCUGUUUCAUCACAUAUACAGGCGAAGAGCCAGUAAAGAAGCUAUUGGAAAGCAGAUACCAUCAAAUUGGGUCAGGAAAGUGUGAGAUCAAAGUUGCACAGCCCAAGGAAGUUUACAGACAACAGCAGCAGCAACAGCAGAAAGGAGGAAGGGGAACAUCCGCGCCACGAGGAGGUGGAAGGGGGAGGGGCAGGGGAGGCCAAAAUUGGAACCAGGGUUACAAUAACUACUACGAUCAAGGAUAUGGAAGCUAUGGUAAUGGCAACUCCUCUUACAGUGACCAGGGUGGCUACAAUAAUUAUGGUGGAUAUGAUUACACUGGGUACAACUAUGGAACCUAUGGUGGAUAUAACCAAGGGUACACAGACUACAGUGGUCAGCAAAGCACAUAUGGAAAGGCAUCAAGAGGCGCUGGAAACCAUCAAAAUAACUACCAACCUUACUAAUGGACUAGGAUUCACAUAAGCGGGAACUUCAUUGCAGGCCGUGUGUCACCCUGACCACGUCUAUCUCUGGGGUCGCACGUUGUGGGCAGAGCGCAAGGCGUACACCAGAAACCGCUGUCCUGUGGUAGACAGGACAGAGGAUUAACUACGGGACUUUCAUCCAGGCUGGGAGUUUAAGAUAAAAACUUUUCUCUUGUGAGGACUUGUGUACAGGACACAGUGGUGUCUUGCUGUAAAUAGUAUUUGGCUCAUUUAAUUUUCUUUUAAUGGCUUUAUAGUUUUAUUUUUAUUUUUUUCCCCCCCAAUUCUGUAAACAGUGGUUUUUAUGUUCCUUGAAUUUUGUUUAUAAACUGUAACGUUACCUUGUGACUUUCACGGCAUAAAUGUCCAGUGUUUGUAAUAAAAGGAUUUGAAAAAACUG